GAUGAACGCUGGCGGCGUGCUUAACACAUGCAAGUCGAACGGUGAAGCAGAGCUUGCUCUGUGGAUCAGUGGCGAGCGGGUGAGUAACACGUGAGCAACCUGCCCCUGACUCUGGGAUAAGCGCUGGAAACGGCGUCUAAUACUGGAUAUGAGCUGCGACCGCAUGGUCAGCAGUUGGAAAGAUUUUUCGGUCUGGGAUGGGCUCACGGCCUAUCAGCUUGUUGGUGAGGUAAUGGCUCACCAAGGCGUCGACGGGUAGCCGGCCUGAGAGGGUGACCGGCCACACUGGGACUGAGACACGGCCCAGACUCCUACGGGAGGCAGCAGUGGGGAAUAUUGCACAAUGGGCGAAAGCCUGAUGCAGCAACGCCGCGUGAGGGAUGACGGCCUUCGGGUUGUAAACCUCUUUUAGCAGGGAAGAAGCGAAAGCGACGGUACCUGCAGAAAAAGCGCCGGCUAACUACGUG
rnacentral:rRNA from 1 species